AUGGAGACGCUGUUGGGUAUCCCUUUCCCCGUGAGCCCCUUCUCCUGGCCGGCCACAUCCGGGAACAAGAGCGUGUACGGCACCUUGGCCGGCCCCCUCCGGUUCUUGAGCCGCUGGUCCUUGUUCCUCUCCUCCACCCGCUUCUCCACCCGCCGGAGGUCCUCCCGGAACCGAUCCAGCAGGCGCAGCAGCUGGCCGUCGUCCGUCCACGUGGACGUGGCGCGCUGCCCGAGGUAG
rnacentral:rRNA from 1 species